CUUACACAUGCAAGUCGAACGGCAGCACGGAGCUUGCUCUGGUGGCGAGUGGCGAACGGGUGAGUAAUAUAUCGGAACGUACCCUAGAGUGGGGGAUAACGUAGCGAAAGUUACGCUAAUACCGCAUACGAUCUAAGGAUGAAAGUGGGGGAUCGCAAGACCUCAUGCUCGUGGAGCGGCCGAUAUCUGAUUAGCUAGUUGGUAGGGUAAAAGCCUACCAAGGCAUCGAUCAGUAGCUGGUCUGAGAGGACGACCAGCCACACUGGAACUGAGACACGGUCCAGACUCCUACGGGAGGCAGCAGUGGGGAAUUUUGGACAAUGGGCGAAAGCCUGAUCCAGCAAUGCCGCGUGAGUGAAGAAGGCCUUCGGGUUGUAAAGCUCUUUUGUCAGGGAAGAAACGGUGAGAGCUAAUAUCUCUUGCUAAUGACGGUACCUGAAGAAUAAGCACCGGCUAACUACGUGCCAGCAGCCGCGGUAAUACGUAGGGUGCAAGCGUUAAUCGGAAUUACUGGGCGUAAAGCGUGCGCAGGCGGUUUUGUAAGUCUGAUGUGAAAUCCCCGGGCUCAACCUGGGAAUUGCAUUGGAGACUGCAAGGCUAGAAUCUGGCAGAGGGGGGUAGAAUUCCACGUGUAGCAGUGAAAUGCGUAGAUAUGUGGAGGAACACCGAUGGCGAAGGCAGCCCCCUGGGUCAAGAUUGACGCUCAUGCACGAAAGCGUGGGGAGCAAACAGGAUUAGAUACCCUGGUAGUCCACGCCCUAAACGAUGUCUACUAGUUGUCGGGUCUUAAUUGACUUGGUAACGCAGCUAACGCGUGAAGUAGACCGCCUGGGGAGUACGGUCGCAAGAUUAAAACUCAAAGGAAUUGACGGGGACCCGCACAAGCGGUGGAUGAUGUGGAUUAAUUCGAUGCAACGCGAAAAACCUUACCUACCCUUGACAUGGCUGGAAUC
rnacentral:rRNA from 1 species